rnacentral:rRNA from 2 species
GACGAACCGUGCGAACGUUGUUCGGAAUCACUGGGCUUAAAGGGCGCGUAGGCGGUUCUCCAAGUCAGGGGUGAAAUCCUGCGGCUUAACCGUAGAAGUGCCUUUGAUACUGGAGAUCUUGAGGGAGGUAGGGGUCCGUGGAACUUCUGGUGGAGCGGUGAAAUGCGUUGAUAUCAGAAGGAACGCCGGUGGCGAAAGCGACGGACUGGAUCUCUUCUGACGCUGAGGCGCGAAAGCUAGGGGAGCAAACGGG